GUUUCAAAAAAUCACUGAACCAGCAGUUAGUACUUGAGAAGCAUCAACAGGAAUCCAACUUGAGGAGAGAAGGAUGCCCGAAACUAACAGGCAUCAAGUUCUUUUUAAACUUACAACUUUGGUAUUCUUAAGAAUAAUAUUUUCAAUGUAAUACACUUGAUCUAAAGGAGAAGAGCUUGAAGCGCUGUAGAUAGUUGAGGGUAGAGAGAAAUCUCAGCUCUGCCUCC